UGGGGAAUAUUGGACAAUGGGCGCAAGCCUGAUCCAGCCAUGCCGCGUGUGUGAAGAAGGCCCUAGGGUUGUAAAGCACUUUAAGUUGUGAGGAAGGCUUUCAAAUUAAUACUUUGGAGGAUUGACGUUAGCAACAGAAUAAGCACCGGCUAACUCCGUGCCAGCAGCCGCGGUAAUACGGAGGGUGCAAGCGUUAAUCGGAAUUACUGGGCGUAAAGCGCGCGUAGGUGGCUGCUCAAGCCAGAUGUGAAAUCCCCGGGCUUAACCUGGGAACUGCAUUUGGAACUGAGUGGCUAGAGUACAGCAGAGGAGUGUGGAAUUUCAGGUGUAGCGGUGAAAUGCGUAGAGAUCUGAAGGAACAUCAGUGGCGAAGGCGACACUCUGGGCUGAUACUGACACUGAGGUGCGAAAGCGUGGGUAGCAAACAGG
rnacentral:rRNA from 2 species